rnacentral:ncRNA from 1 species
UUCGGGGACGGUGUAAUUCCGUACCGGCGGUAUAGCCCGCGAGCAUUUAUAUUUAUGCUGAUUUGGUGUAAUUCCAAAGCCGACAGUUAAAGUCUGGAUGAGAGAAUAU